AUACACUACACUGCAAUACACUACACUACAAUACACUGCAAUACACUACAAUACAAUACAGUACAAUACACUGCACUAAACUACAGUACAGUACAAUAUAAUACAGAACAGGGAGCACAAAUACGAGAGUUUAUCCAGUUUUGGGCGUCACUAUAUAUUAAAUCAGGCUGUAAAUGUGAUCUGAUCGAUCGACUAGAUUGAAUAACCGGCCCGUUGUGUAACGGGUUACAUAAGGUUAGCAUACGGCGUUAGCAUGGCUCGCUAACCGCGAACUGGGGCCGCUGAGAAGCCGCUGGACUCCAUAAGGUGCAGCUGGACCGUCUGCGGCUGAUUUGGCGUGGUUUUGUCCACAGUAGGACGGGAGAGAUGUCCUCCAAAAUGCAGAUGCCGCCUCCAGAGCGAGCCCUGCCCGGCAGACCGGACACUCUGAGGGUCUCAGCUAAGCAUCAUGUCAAUGGUAACAGGAUGGUGCUGCCAUUCCCAGAGGGAUUGCAGAUGGCAAUGUUUGGUAUGGGAUGUUUCUGGGGAGCAGAACGGAAGUUCUGGAGGCAGAAGGGUGUAUACUCCACCCAGAUGGGCUACUCUGGAGGCUAUACCCCCAACCCUACUUAUGAGGAAGUCUGCACAGGCAAAACGGGCCAUGCUGAGGUGGUGCGAGUGGUGUUUUCACCAGGCAAGAUCAGCUAUGUCCAUCUGCUCAAGGUGUUCUGGGAAAGCCACAAUCCCACCCAAGGAAUGCGGCAGGGUAACGACAUGGGAACGACUUAUCGAUCUGCCAUCUAUGCUUACACACAAGAGCAGCUGAGCCAAGCUCUGGCUUCGAAGGAGGAAUAUCAAAAGGUCCUGACAGAAGAAGGAUUUGGACCAAUCACCACAGAGAUCGCCAUUGCUGAAUGAUUGUUCUUCUAUGCUGAGGACUAUCAUCAGCAGUACCUCAGCAAGAACCCUGGAGGCUACUGUGGACUGGACGUAAUCCCAGACACAUUCGUGAUGCUGAGGUCUGGACUCUGGGGUGGUCAGUCCACAGGUCUGAGAAAACCAGCAGCUUCUUUCUUUGAUUUGUUUCUUUUUUGUCUAUUUCAUUUUCUCAGUAGUGGCUUCUUGACAGUCAGACCCAUAACAUUGAGUGGUCUUCUCACAGUGGAAGGAUGGACAGAAACAUCUGUGGAUGUUUUCAGAUCUGAAGCAGCGUGAUUUUCUCCUCUCUCUCAAAGUUCAAAACUUUCAGUGCUGUUUAUCUGAUGGGGCAGUUUUGGUGUCAACCAGCUCUUGAUACUGCAUUUUGCUGCCCAGCACUAGUUUUGACUUCCAUCAUGUACAUGUUGCCUCUUUCAAAGUACCGUCACACUCCUGUCUCUGGCUCUUUGUUCCAGGUGCUUGCCAAAGUGUUGCUAGCAUACUUGAAUGAUGGUAACAUAAGAGGAAUGUCCAAAAACAGGAGUGUAUACAGACUGUGGUGGAAAAAGACAGACAUAAACAAUAUAUUGCUGUUGUCGGAAUGAAA